rnacentral:rRNA from 1 species
GAUGAACGCUAGCUACAGGCUUAACACAUGCAAGUCGAGGGGUAACAAGAGAAAAGCUUGCUUUUCUUGUUGACGACCGGCGCACGGGUGAGUAACGCGUAUCCAACCUGCCUAUAACUAGGGAAUAACCUUGCGAAAGUAAGACUAAUACCCUAUGAUUUCCUUUGAUGACAUCAGAUUAGGAAUAAAGAUUUAUCGGUUAUAGAUGGGGAUGCGUCUGAUUAGCUUGUUGGCGGGGUAACGGCCCACCAAGGCAACGAUCAGUAGGGGUUCUGAGAGGAAGGUCCCCCACAUUGGAACUGAGACACGGUCCAAACUCCUACGGGAGGCAGCAGUGAGGAAUAUUGGUCAAUGGGCGGAAGCCUGAACCAGCCAAGUAGCGUGCAGGAUGACGGCCCUAUGGGUUGUAAACUGCUUUUAUACAGGAAUAAAGUUAGCCACGUGUGGUUAUUUGUAGGUACUGUAUGAAUAAGGACCGGCUAAUUCCGUGCCAGCAGCCGCCGCAG